AGCCAAGAAUGUCGGAACAUAAAUCUGGGAAGAUCUAACUCAAUGGGGAGUCUGUUUUUGUCCAGAUAGGAGACUUCAGCUCAUUCAGGUUGAUGUUCGGUUUCCAGAGGAAAAACCAUACCAUCACAGAGUGGAAAACUGCACCUGGGUUCACAGAAAAAAACGGACGCUACGAAAACGACAUCGCUCUAUUGCGAAUAGCUGAUAUCGAAAAUAGCCCAAACGAGUUCAUCAGAUUGUGCUCAGAGAAACAAGAACAAGGAACCCUACUGGGUGUCUCUGGAAUGGGUUUCUUGUCACGUGACGAGCAACAUCUACCCGACUCCCUCCAGGAGACUUAUUUCCAAGAAUCAUAUUUCCAAAUGUUUUCAGGCCCUUUCAAAUAUGAGUCAUGCCCAGCUGAUAAAAUAUGCACGACCAAUGUAAUUCACAACUCGGGCAUUUGCCCAAUGGACUAUGGAGGACCCUUAUACGCAAUGUACUGUCAGUCUCGUAUAGCCGAAUGUUUGUAUGGUGUGGCAAGUUAUUCGGCUAGUUGGACAGUUGAUGUUUCGGAUGAUCUGUGCUCUCAAACUACAGUAUUUGCCAGCGUGGUUCAUCUCAAAGAAUGGAUCUCAUCUGUAAUUUAUCAA